CCCGCACAAGCGGUGGAGCAUGUGGUUUAAUUCGAUGCAACGCGAAGAACCUUACCUACUCUUGACAUCCAGAGAAUUUGCUAGAGAUAGCUUAGUGCCUUCGGGAACUCUGAGACAGGUGCUGCAUGGCUGUCGUCAGCUCGUGUUGUGAAAUGUUGGGUUAAGUCCCGCAACGAGCGCAACCCUUAUCCUUUGUUGCCAGCGAGUAAUGUCGGGAACUCAAAGGAGACUGCCGGUGAUAAACCGGAGGAAGGUGGGGAUGACGUCAAGUCAUCAUGGCCCUUACGAGUAGGGCUACACACGUGCUACAAUGGCAUAUACAAAGAGAAGCGAACUCGCGAGAGCAAGCGGACCUCAUAAAGUAUGUCGUAGUCCGGAUUGGAGUCUGCAACUCGACUCCAUGAAGUCGGAAUCGCUAGUAAUCGUGGAUCAGAAUGCCACGGUGAAUACGUUCCCGGGCCUU
rnacentral:rRNA from 1 species